rnacentral:rRNA from 1 species
AGUGAACGCUGGCGGUAGGCCUAACACAUGCAAGUCGAACGGCAGCACAGUAAGAGCUUGCUCUUACGGGUGGCGAGUGGCGGACGGGUGAGGAAUAGAUCGGAAUCUACUUUUUCGUGGGGGAUAACGUAGGGAAACUUACGCUAAUACCGCAUACGACCUACGGGUGAAAGCAGGGGAUCUUCGGACCUUGCGCGAUUGAAUGAGCCGAUGUCGGAUUAGCUAGUUGGCGGGGUAAAGGCCCACCAAGGCGACGAUCCGUAGCUGGUCUGAGAGGAUGAUCAGCCACACUGGAACUGAGACACGGUCCAGACUCCUACGGGAGGCAGCAGUGGGGAAUAUUGGACAAUGGGCGCAAGCCUUAUCCAGCCAUACCGCGUGGGUGAAGAAGGCCUUCGGGUUGUAAAGCCCUUUUGUGGGGAAAGAAAAGCAGCAGGUUAAUACCCCGCUGUUCUGACGGUACCCAAAGAAUAAGCACCGGCUAACUUCGUG